rnacentral:rRNA from 1 species
UACGUAGGAUGCAAGCGUUGUCCGGAAUUAUUGGGCGUAAAGAGCGCGCAGGCGGUAACUCAAGUCAGAUGUGAAAUAUCCGGGCUUAACCCGGAGGGGUCAUUUGAAACUGAGUAACUAGAGUACAGCAGAGGAUAGCGGAAUUCCCGGUGUAGUGGUGAAAUGCGUAGAUAUCGGGAGGAACACCAGUGGCGAAGGCGGCUAUCUGGGCUGAAACUGACGCUGAGGCGCGAAAGCGUGGGGAGCGAACAGG